UGAAAGAAACACUAUAAAGCAGGGUGUCAAACAGCCUCUGUAGAAUGGGGAACUGCAUGUCAAAUGGCUGCAAAUGUCCAUCUACUGGAGAUGAAACUUACCAGGAAACCACUAGAAACAAAAAAUCAUUUUGUGAGGACUGCUGCUCAUGUUGCUGUCCAGUUGUUUUGCCUUCCAGAGGACAGCACCAGAUCCUUCCUGAAGAAAAUGCUUCAGCUGAUAACACGGAGGUGGGAAACAGAGCUGUUCAUAAUGCAAAACCAGAAACAGAGUCUGCAAUUACAGAUCAACGUAGAAGAAGCCCAAGGAAUUCAGCAGAGAGGAAACAAGGCCUCAUCUCAAAAAAAAAAGUCUCAA